GCGCGGAAGUUCCACCGACUAUCUAGUU
rnacentral:sRNA from 1 species